CAAUCUAAUUAAAAUAUAGAUCUCGGAUUUCGUUAUACUACGUUAUACUACAUACGAAGAUCUAACAAGUACCCUACAAGGUUUCACUUUUGUGACCUUAUAUAACGUAAUAUUUGACCCCAGAAAGUAUUUAUAUCGACCAAUCAGAAUGCUCUUUAUAAACGCGACCUAGGAACAUGUUGAAGAUGGCGACGUAGAAAUGGAAAAACAACCUAGAAAAUGCAUUAACUGAAAUUUUGCCUUAGUACAAAGUGAAAGAAUUGAAAUUUGAGAAGAGACAAAUUUUGGAAAUCAAAGAUUGCAUGGUCAGGCUUCCAACAUGCUUCAAACGGGCUAUGGAAAGAGUUUACAUACCAGAUAUCUGCUACCCGAUAAUUAUCAAGUCUGCAUUCAAAGGAGCAGACAUUCUUCCCUGGUCUAUAUAGCUUCAUUGAAAGGAAUCAGACACAGAAAGUUUGGGGAAAUGAAAUUGAGAGUCACUGUGAAUAAUUCACACACAUGCUAGACAUUAAAGAAAUGGCCAGACACAGGCUCAGCUAUAGAAUCUGUAUCAACUGGAAGCAACAGCAUUUUCAUCAGAAAACUAAAAAGGAUGUGAAAAACAUGAAACAUGCAUUUGGAAAUGUUCAGCCGCCAAACAAAUAGAUAUGCCAGGAAAUGCAAAUUGUUUGCUAAUAUAAAUGUCAAUGAUGUCUGUACAAAAGCAAAGAUAUAAAAGCCUUUUUCAUUUAUACAUGUAACAGUCAUAUACAAUACAGAUUUAAGACCAUCAGACAAUCUUUAAAUCUUUGGAAGCCACAGCACCUAGUCCAAGACAUUCCAUAUUUUCAACUCGUUAUGAAGUCAUAUUUGACCAAUCUGGUUUCCAUUUAUAGAAGUUUAAAAAUAAGUUCUACAUGUACAUGACAUGAUGAUCACCAGCAAUGAAGGUGAUAUAGGAUAUAAUAUUCAAAGUAGAGAAGUAUAAAGUGAAUUUGAACCUCCCACCAUAAUAGCAUUCUGCACAUUUUGGAUCACAUAUGGAUCAAGCUGUUGUACUUGUGAACUAAAAGAUUGUUGCUUGGUGGUUGUCAGGUACAUUGUACAUGUUGACAGUGCUAUACGUCUAUUAAAUAAAAUGCAGUUCAGAACAGUUA